AUACUCUGUGACUGGGCCUUCAUGAUGUUAUUCCAUGUGAGCCUGCCAUGUAAUUUGGUUUUAUGCUUUAAAGACACAAGCACAGUUCAACACCUACUGUGAAAAUCUGAGGCCUUUGGACUGCUGUACUGCAACUUGAAAAAUUGAAAACAACAGACUCUACAAUCAAUUAAGAGAAUAUCCAUAAAAUAAUUUCAGCUAUGAAUACUCAUUCAUCCAAGUAAUAUUACCAUGUAAUACAACUGGUAUGGAUGGCUUGUAUUAUAAAUAAAUACAACAUUGAUGAAAA